UCCAGAAGCCCCAACCUAUAAAGUGGCUAAAUAUAAAGCUUUAACAAGAUAUAUUGUGGCCAACAGUACGAAGUGUAAUUCAUGAUGGUCUUUAAAUCUCAGCACAGGUCAUGCAAAAGAAUGAUGGUCCAGGGACUCAAGUUCUGUCCAGUGGACAGAUUUGUUGGCGCAGAAUCAAAACAACAUUUUGGCCCACUGUCACUGAUACGUCAACUACAAAGGCCCUGUUGUGGGCCGGAACAUUUGAUUGUGCUCAAAUCUGCCUGGAACAUUACUUUUUGCAAAUAACAUUGUGAAGUUGGGCUAACCUCGGGCCCGGUUGCACCCUGCAAUUCAGGACAGUGCGGUAUCAAAAUUGUAAUUAUUUCAGCACUGAUCAUGCCAAUGCAGGAGGUACUGAGAUUGAAAAAUUGGAUCCAUAAACUGAAAUGGCAAAUGACA